GAUUAUGCUACCUUUGCACGGUUAAAAAACCGCGGCUCUUUAAAAAUACGCUCAGUGAGCAGGCCAGACCUCAAAUAUUAACAAGAGGACAUGUUUUUGAUAAACAGGCGGAAAUCAAUUUUGCCUAGUUCCUUAUAAUAAGUUCACAAGGUAAAAAUUUUAUACAAAUAAAUAUACUAAUUCUUUCAUUAUUACAAAAAUUUUAAAAUUAAAUUAAUAAUCUUAAUAAAAAA